CCCAUGCUUUAAAAUAAACUCUAUUCUAUAUUGGUACUACUACUACUACUACUACUACUACUACUACUACUACUACUACUAGAAGAAGAAGAAGAAGAAGAAGAAGAAGAAGAAGAAGAAGAAGAAGAAGAAGAAGAAGAAGAAGAGGAGGAGGAGGAGGAGGAGGAGGAGGAGGAGGAGGAAGAGGAGGAGGAGGAAGAGGAAGCAGCAGCAGCAGCAGCAGCAGCAGUAACAGCAGCAGCAGCAGCAAAACAGAAUGAUGUGAUAUGGUCAAUGGUGGCACCAUGGAUAGUUUUUGUUUGUUUCUUUCCUUACUCUUUUUUGAGAUGAGAUCUUGCUACAUUGCCCAGGUUGGCCUAAAACCAACUGAGGCUUGCUGUCUCAUCCUCGGAGUGGUUAAGACUAUAGGUAGGCACCGUCACAUCUGACUUCAUUUCUCUCUCUACGUGCAGUUAAACUUUUCCUAGUUAGAACCAAAAGUUACAACCCCAUUUAUCUCAGUGUUUCAUUUAUCUGUGUUAGUUUAUUGGAGCUAAAAUAAAAUUAAAUUAUAAUCCUGUAUUUAGCUUAAAUACUCAAUUUAAGAAAUUCAGCAUAUAGUGCCUUACUGAGCUCAUGCUUCCGGAUUUAUCGAGCACCAAGCAGACCACUCGCUGUCUGGACUUGAGCAAGGAAAACGUGGGUGGAGGAGGGGCUUCUGUUCCUCUCAUGGGAGGGGCAUGCUGAAAGUCAGCGGACUCCUUGAUUACGUCCCACGUGCUUCUGCCAUUGCAUAUUUUGUUUUGUAGGUUUGGGGCUUCCGUAUUGUGGGUUUUUUCUGUGCAAAAUUCAACCACCUGAAAAAAAAAACCAAUUAAAACUUGAUGUAAUAUAGAGCAGAUCGUCUUUUUUUUCUUUUCCAAAUAUAAAGUUAGCCACUACGUGCAUCCUGAACAGGACUUGUCUCCUGACAAGAAUUACUUCAUGUUAGAUGCUUUGUCGUCCAUUUUACAUGGAUGUGAAAGCGGGCAGCACUGUCAAUGCUGUGGCCAACGCUGUUUGGAGGUUUUAAAGUUAGAUUGUCAGUGCAGAGUGUGGCCGUGCAUGUGGUUACGCUACCUUCUUGCUUACUCGACCACACUUCUCCAGGACCCAGUAUCCUGAAUUAAAUGUAAGAGUGUGUGGUUUCUGGUCAUUUCUGUCCCCUAAAAGCAGAAUAGGAGAGGCGGCCAUCUUUUACUGUGUGUGCUGUGCAUCUCCACAGUGAGCCCAGAAACUUGAGGACAGACACCCUAACAGUCUAGCUUGCUAUCAGUGCCUACGAGUUUUGACACAUGAACAGCACCCUUGGAAGAGAAUAAACGUGUAAGAGAUGCAGUUAUUUCUCCAAGUGAUGAAUUGCAGCUAAUAAUUCCGCCAGUGGAUGCUUUUAUUACUUGAAACCCCCAAAAUCCUCCAGGUUUUGAAAACCUGGAGAAAGAUGGGAAAGUGUCCUUAUAAACUACCCCAGAAUCCAGGAAGGAAACUCCUUACCGUCAACCCACAGAAACGGUUUUUAAGUCAUUUCCUUUAGCGUCCCCUCCUGCCAUGUUUGCAGUGUUAAGCUCAGACUCAACACUAGCUGAUUACAUCUGCAUUUCUCACACACUGUAAGAGCUUUGUUUCUGACAUGGCGCAGGUUCAAAUCUCCCGAAUGAGGUUCUAUUGGGUGGGGAGAAAAUAUGGAUGCAAACAAAGGCUUUCUUCACAUCCUUCCAGCUGUGAGGUGAUGCCUGUCACACUGUCCCCUCUUCCUCCUGCCGUUGUCUUUGAAUCAAGUCUCUCCCCUGCCUAUUGCCGGGGCUCCCAGCUGACCUCCCAGCCUCACCCAUCCCGUUCCGUCCUGUCCCGUCCCAUCCCAUCCCAUCCCAUCCCGUCCCUGCCUUCACAAUGGUAUUGCUGUAUUUCUGGGGGAAUUAAGCAGCUACCUCACCAUUCGUCCAAAGUAGAGAGGAGAAAAACCCAACACCCUAGCUUUGUAGCUUUGCAGGUUCAGCCCCAUUUCCUGCCUCUUGUUCAGCACGCAUUUCUUGAUUCCACCAUAGAAUAUCAUUCGUCUCUAGAGUGCACCAGAAACUUUCACCCGAAUUCUCACUCACCCUAAUGGUGAUUUUGCACCAACUAGGAAAACGCCAUUUUAUUACAAGCUUCUAUUCUCCCCAAAUUAUUCUAACAAGUAUUAGAAUCUUUCCAAUGGCGAUGGAAAUCUUUAGACAAUUCUCACCUUGGCAUUACAGGUAGCAACUCUGCCCGGUGGCUCUAGUUGCUGUCAGUCUGUCUCAUUGCCUCGAAUUCUUUCUCUCUUACCGCUUCGCCAAAUUCAGACUCAUUUCCCAAUCCCAGCUAAAAAGCCCAUCCACUCGGAAGCCAUCUUCCUCGGCCCUUUCGUAUGACUCUGAUUCAUACACCCGUGUCUCUUCCUACUUGGCUUUAAUUCUGCCUCAGUACUUCUACUGCUCUCCCUAGAACACUUCUCUAGGAAAAUUAUUUUUAAUUAUUUACUUGGUGUCAGCUCUUAACACAGCACUGAACUCGAAAUGGAGAGAAUUCUGUUUAGGGGCUGGAAGGAGCGGAGGGAGAAUAUUCAGUAUUGUGUGCUGUCCAUGUCCAGAGCUUGAGGUUAUGUUCUGGGCUCGGUAUGUAAUAUAUUUAAUCUAUAGCGUGAUAAUUAGAAGUUUGUCCUAUGUGGGAUAAGAUGUUUGGCUAAAACACAGUGCUUCUCUCUGAACAAUGUCCUGUGUAAUUUGCUUCCGUUCGGACUUCAGGUGUCUUUCCUUACUACUUGUGUCCCAAAUAGGCAGCAGUUGUGUCCUGAUGGUAAAUGCCAGUGGUGUGUGGUUUAGAAUAGGCAGUGUGUGUUCUGAUGAUCUGCUGUGUCAGGUAAUUUCUGGUCUGCUUGGAUGCUGAAUAUUUUGUUGAUCCAGGCUCAGCCAGUCCAAGUGAACUAUCCUUGCUCACGUCAGAUAUUUCUAGAAGAAGGGUCCAUUUAAAACGUUGUCUACUUCACACAUUUCAGAAGAAAACUUCUAACUUUCCUCAUUGUCUAGGUGCCACAACAAUUUUUAAUUCCAUCAGAAACUUUUUUUUUGUGACCGGGGUAGUGUUCGUUGCUCGUGUGUUAGUAUACGAGGGACUGCUUCUUUUCAAUUAAGCUGGUCUUAUCAUUUAGAGAUGCAACUUUGGUUUGUUUUUAAAACACUUUCUCAUUUAAGAUAUUCUUACAUUUGCACACAUGUUUGUAAGGUAAACACAGUAUGUUUAUAUAAUUUAAGACUGGAGAAUAGCAAAAGAAGUUACCAAUAGUAAAUAGACAACCUUCACCAUGGCAGGAAACACUUGCAGAUGGUUCACAACAAGAGACUUACCAAUUUAUAAGGAACUCAAAGAAUUUAGCAGCAAAAUCUUCCCAGAAAUAACAAGAUUUAAAAUAGUUGGAUGGUGUAAAUAGUCGUUUCUCAAGAAAAUACAUCUAAGUGACUGACUAGAAAGUAGGCGGAAAAGAGCUCCUCACCACCAACCAUCAAGGAAGUGCAAGCCAAAGCCACAGUGAGGUCUACUCUCACACCAGUCAGAUGGCUAAAAAAGACAAAAGGAAAAUGCUGGAGAGGGCCCUAAAACGGGGAAUGUUCAUGCGUGGUAGGAGUCUGAGUUAGCACGCUGGGGAAAAUAAAAUGGGAGUUUGUAAACACUAAAAUGUAGAAACACUAUAUGACCAAGCAACCUCUAUAUUUCUAUCUCUCUCUCUGUCCAUAUCUAUAUAUGUCGCACAGAUAUCCAGCAACCACAUCAACUGCACAUCCACGUCAGUCACGGUGUUCAAAGUGUAGACCCAACCUAAGUGUCCGUCAGUGGACGAGUGGACUAAUAAGAGGUAGUUACCCACACUCAGGUAUUUCACUCAUAAAUAAGAACAGAGCACUAUUGUGUGCCCCAAUGUGAGUGAGCCCAGAGAACACUGUGCUAAGUGAUACAAUUGGAGCAAGAAAAUAAAUGCUUUGUGAUCUCACAAAUACACUGAGGCUAAGAAAACUGGUGUAAUAGAAGUAGAGUAGAAUGCUGGUCAUCGGCAACUGGGAAUCCAAGUGAGGAGGACACAGAGAGGUUGAUUAAUAGUAUAAAAUUAUAGGUAGAUUGCUGGAAUAUAUUCUAGUGUUUAAUAGCAGAAUAGAGUGACUUUAGUUAACAGUCAUUUGUGCUUGAAAAUAGCACGAUGAGAGGAUUUUGAAUGUUCUUACCACAAGAAAGAGCAUAAAUCUUUGAGGUUAUGGGAACUAGAAUGCUCACGUUCCUGAAGUAAAAUCUUCUCCCGGUGGCUUCAAACAGGUAAGUGGAGGCUUGAGUUACCAUUUCCUGACAAAAUGAGAAGUGCAUUGUUGUAAUAAUGUCACACAACAAAAUUAGCAUUGAAGUAUGUACACAAACUAGAAGCAAAUCAGGAGCUCCUUUCCCUCAAAAAGAAUGGUUUUUACCAAGUCUCAAGUCUGUAUGUUUCUCUUCGCGUGCCCAAAUUCACACCUGUUUUUACCUGAUUCCCCUUGUGGUCAGCAGUGUAGGCUGGAGAUAGGAAUGAAGAAGUUGGGUCAGUUAUAAGCGUAAUUAGGAUCGGAAGGCUGUGGGAGACUCUCAGAAAAUGAGAGGGAAGGGUAAGAGUCUAAAUCUACAGCCAGCGCCCUGGCCUACGGUGGAGGGGCGGAGUUGAGUAGAGGCAUCAUGGCCAAUAGCCCGGCUCCUAGUGUUGAUGAGGACAGCAGAUAAGCACUGCACCGAGCCAUCUCUGUUGGACAGGCAAAAACUGUGGAACUUUUCUGCAGCUUGGAGUGCCAAUGAACGAUACGUAGGAAGCGGGUGUUCUCCUCCUGUUGCUGCAUCUCUUGGCCUGGGUAAGAUUCUAACCACCCUUGGAAAAGGCGGGCAAGGGAGCGAGGUCAAUCAAAAUGGCUGCGCUCCCUCUUUUGUGCCAUUUUGACAAACAAGCAAGAGCCCUCUCUUUUGUUUUUAUGAGGUGGGGCUGAUGUGGAUACAGAUGCUAACCAGCAUUGUGAGGAACAGCAAGGAAUCCAAAGCACCCCCAGCAGCAGAGAGCACGGGAAGAUAAUUCAUGAUUUUCUGCACCAGAAAGCACCCCGGAACGCCCAAGACACUUAGCCUGUACAGAGGACGGAGUGCGAGAAGCAGAGUUGCUGGGGACGCAAGGAGGAAGCACAUAUGCUGAAAAUGAAGAAGAAAAGACAGUCCUGCGAGUGCACAGAGGUGGCCUGCUCAGGGCUCAGAGAAUGGAGGAUAGCUAAGCUCCUUGGAUUUGUUCUGUUUGCUUUGACCGAGCACAUCCUGAGAGCUACUGUGCUGUGCACAGAGAACCGUUCUCGAACGACAGUCUUCUCGCUUUCUUUAUCUUAUAUUUUUAAGCCCUCAGUCACAAACUUUUAAGGUUUGGUAUAUUGUUAUAUUUGAUGUUAACUUUGUCAUUAAUAAGCACACUAUACUUAGAGAAGAGAGAACUCAAAAUAAAUGUAGUAAACAUUUCUUAUUAACA